rnacentral:lncRNA from 1 species
AUUUUCGUACAUAUGGGAGGAAACUUCAAUGGAAAAGAAGCUCCAUAGCCGAGCACGGGAUUUUUCUCUGGCCUUUUGGCCGGAAAAUAACCCUUUCCCUUUAAUACUUUUUAUGUUUCUAUGAGCUUUCUCUAAUAAAUUUUAAAUGUUACUUUUACUUAGUGUUAGUUGAAGGACUACAUAUCCUCUCUUUUGCCGCGUAUUAGUUGGGAGACUCUAUUCUCUCUCUUUUCUGCAUUGUAAAUCUACAGAUUUAUUAUGUCUUUUGGUCAUUCCUUUGAUGGAUAUGGUUUCUUCUUUCUCAAGAGAUCCUUGCCUUGAUAGUCCUCAGUAUGGAUCUGGGAUCUGGUUUUAAGGUUUUGGAUGGAGCCUCCCUUAGAUGCUUGGUACAUUUAUUUGUUGGAAGAAUCCAUUUAGCAUCGACAUUGAGUCAAUCAUUGGUGGUGACGCCUGAAGCAGAGAGUGGUGGUGCAUUAUGGCACCGGUAUCGAACGGCGCUGGAGCUCUAGCUACCAAGAAUGCAGCCACAAGUGUAGAUCUUGUUCCAUUUUCUGUUAGAUUUGUACAGUGUUAGGGUUAGCCACUGGGUUUGUUAUUGGACCUAAUUUUAUAUCUUGCCUUUUCAGGCUUUCCCAUUAUUUAAGCUUGUAUUAAGCUCUCCCCAUAUUGGACUCUUGAUUUGAAAUGAAUUAUCAUUUCUAUUGGUAGAAAAAAAUAAAGGAAAUUAGACCGUAC